UAACAUAUGGUCUUUCCUGGACAAUGUUCCAUGUAUGCUUGAGAAGAACAUGCAUUCUACAGGUGUCAUUCUACUUGGUUUAAGGAGGGAGCACUCUCUGCUCUCCAGAAGAAGGAAGAGCAGCAAAUCUGACAGAGUAUUUCCCAGGAGUGGAUAUAAUAAUAACAAUCGGGCUUCCCUGGUGGCGCAGUGGUUGAGAGUCUGCCUGCCAGUGCGGAGGACACGGGUUCGAGCCCUGGUCUGGGAGGAUCCCACAUGCCGCGGAGCAACUAGGCCCGUGAGCCACAAUUACUGAGCCUGCGCGUCUGGAGCCUGUGCUCCGCGACGGGAGAGGCCGCGAUGGUGAGAGGCCCGCGCAACGCGAUGAGGAGUGGCCCCCACUUGCCACAACUAGAGAAAGCCCUCGCACGGAAACGAAGACCCAACGCAUCAAUCAAUCAAUCAAUCAAUCAAUACAAUCAAAAUAAUGGUCAUGGUUUUGUGAAUGUUACCUGUCACUGUUCAAGGGUUUUGUUUGCAUUAAUCAAUCAUCAUAAUAAUGCUCUGCAGUAUACACUAUAAUAAUCCUGUUGGGUUGCAACCUCGAGACUUUCCCAGGUGAAAACUGAAGCUAACCUCCAUACACAGAAGGCAAGGAGAGACCUACGAAAGAGGCAGACCACUCCAGAUUUGUACAUGGCAUGUUUACUAAGCAAGGGAACUGACAUAAGAGGCUUGUCUUGAGCGGCUGCAAGACGAGUAGAUCUCUGUCCCUGUCCACCAGAAUCUUAAAGCCUUUAUAGAGACCUCACCUGGGCUCAGUCGCUAUCAAGAUGGUCUCAACAACACCUUACUCUCUCAAGGCUUUGUCCUUGGAACAGAUCCUGUGGUAGGACCAGGGGGCAGAGCAUACGAUCCAAGGACAGGGGAAUGGGUGAGUAGCUUGUGAUUGCCGAGGUCCACCUCGCCGGUCAGCUGGUGGUCACAUCCUCUCAACUACCUCCUCCAACAAAUCCAUGUUGCAUUGAUGAGGAAACUGAGACACAGGAGAGAAAGUGACUUGUACAAGUAAAAGGAUGUAACCAAGAUUUGAACUAAGUGUUCUGGUUCCAUGUAAAUUGUUUUGAAGAAUAUGACUACAUUGUUUCUGCCCAAAACUCUAUUUGAAGCUUAAGGAUGGCCUCAUUUUCAUUUCCACAAGAUCAUCUUCCCAUGGAGUCACAUGCUCCAGAGCAAAACUACAAGAGUAUGUACAGUGUUUAAAACAUAGCAGAGUUAACAACUCCUUCGUUUAACACGUCCAAAUAUUUUCUGCAGUAUUGGUUUUUGCCCCAAAAAACCUGUUCAUGAUCAGACUGCAUCCUGAUUUUGUCUCCUGCUUUUGUGAACACGAUAGACAAAGCAAUGGCUACUUUCCAGGUCAUGAGAUUAAACAGCAAAAAACAUUGCACAGCAAAAAAACAAGUAAGCAAACAAAAAACUCAAACAGAGUUUAAUUUAAUUACUAUCUUUCACAGGAAUGAGUUAAACCCAGUGGUGAUGCUUAUAGGUAUAAAGGGAGGAAUCAAUUAAGGGAAGACUGAGGAUAAAAUGAAGAAGGGAUGACCAGUACAUUCUGGAGACUACAGAAGAAUUCAGAAGGAAGCAAUAACGGCUGUGGAUCAUAACAACUGCAUAAUCAACAUCAAGAAUGACAUUUACAACCACCUCCAUCAACAACAAAAAUUGUCUUAUGUCCCCUUGUCUUUCUUUUACAGAAGACUGCAAAUAUGUGUAAUAAUGCAAAAAUAUUGUAUUCCAGAAUGGUGUAUAAGCAUAGAACUCUGUUGUCAA